GACGGGUAAAAUACCGUUAGCGGUAAAACUUAUCCGGUAAAUAUUAGGAUUUUAAAUAAUUAAUCCUAAUAUUAGAUAAGAAGUGAAUAAAUGCUUGAGACAAUAAAGUUAUGAAAGGCCCGAGUUAACGGGACUUAAAAUAUAACGGGUUAUAACUUCCCGAACCUAUUAAGUUAACUAGGGAUAAUUAACCUAGUUAUUAGUAUGAGGCUAAGUGAUAAAUAGUGAGUUGUAGCUUCAAAUGAUCAAAAUAAAACAUGGGGGACUAGGGUUGCCUAGUGAAGAAACUUGUUUUAAUUAAAUCAAGAAAUAAAACACAACACACACUAAGAGUGUGUGUGUGUGUGCGUACGACCAGGAGGGGCUCCAAGGAGCCAAACCCUAGCUUGAUCAAUACCUUCAAAUUGGAGGAUCAAUUCAAGACCAAAUCAAUGCAUGAACGCGUAUAAACGAUCACCGAGUCAAGAGGAUCGAAAGGUGGAGGCUUGGGAAAGAAGCGGUCAAACGAAUCAAGCACGAGAAGAAAAAGCGUAUUCGGGUGCGAGGAGUAAAUGUGAAAUGGGUAUUAGCAACGCCAUGGAUUAGCGGUUAUAAAAGCAAGGUAUUAAAAACGGGUUGAUAUAUUGACCCGCGCCAGGUAUGUGAAACAGGGUAACACUCAUUUAGAAUAUGUGGUUCAACGAGUGCUAAUAGAAGUCAAAAUAAACAUUUGGUUACUUGAUAAGUAAACCAAAUGUUUAAUAUAGUGAACAUUGCGUUGGGAAGCUUAAUGACUUUUCAAACAAAAUUAUAAGUUAAAAGAGGGAUUUCGGGUCGAAUAUACCUCCAAAAGCCCUUCAUCGUAAAUGAUUGGCUAAACGGACUAAAACGCCCUUAUAAGCUAAAUUGGACAAGCUACCUUUAAAGGUAGUUUUGAAACG